rnacentral:rRNA from 1 species
UACGUAGGGUGCAAGCGUUAAUCGGAAUUACUGGGCGUAAAGCGUGCGCAGGCGGCUUUGCAAGACAGAUGUGAAAUCCCCGGGCUCAACCUGGGAACUGCAUUUGUGACUGCAUGGCUGGAGUGCGGCAGAGGGGGAUGGAAUUCCGCGUGUAGCAGUGAAAUGCGUAGAUAUGCGGAGGAACACCGAUGACGAAGGCAAUCCCCUGGGCCUGCACUGACGCUCAUGCACGAAAGCGUGGGGAGCAAACAGG